rnacentral:rRNA from 1 species
UACGUAGGGUGCAAGCGUUGUCCGGAAUUAUUGGGCGUAAAGAGCUCGUAGGCGGUCUGUCGCGUCGGCUGUGAAAUCCCGGAGCUCAACUCCGGGUCUGCAGUCGAUACGGGCAAACUGGAGUACUGCAGGGGAGACUGGAAUUCCUGGUGUAGCGGUGAAAUGCGCAGAUAUCAGGAGGAACACCGGUGGCGAAGGCGGGUCUCUGGGCCGGUACCGACGCUGAGGAGCGAAAGCGUGGGGAGCGAACAGG